rnacentral:sRNA from 1 species
GCCAGGCGUGGUGGCGCACACCUGUGGUCCUAGCUACAUGGGAGGCUGAAGCAGGAGGAUCACUUGAACCCAGGAGGUCAAGGCUGCAGUGAGCCAUGUUUGCACCACUGCACUCCAACCUAGUCAACAGAGUGAGACCCUGUCUCAAAAAAAAAAAAAAAAUGGUCCUAGUGUGGUGGCGUGGGCCUAUAGCAAGGGGAUUACUUGAGCCCAGGAGUUCAAGGCUGCAGUGAGCUAUGAUCACAGCACUGUACUCCAGCCUGGGUGACAGAGUGAGACCCUGUCUCU